UACGUAGGCAGCGAGCGUUGUUCGGAGUUACUGGGCGUAAAGGGUGUGUAGGCGGUUGCUUAAGUUUGGUGUGAAAUCUCCCGGCUCAACUGGGAGGGUGCGCCGAAUACUGAGUGACUCGAGUGCGGGAGAGGAGAGUGGAAUUCUUGGUGUAGCGGUGAAAUGCGUAGAUAUCAAGAGGAACACCUGAGGUGAAGACGGGUUGCUGGGCCAACACUGACGCUGAUGCGCGAAAGCCAGGGGAGCAAACGGG
rnacentral:rRNA from 1 species